CCACAUGGCGCCCAGCGGCGGUGGCUGGGGACCACCGCAGGCCGCGGUCGCCCGUCGCGAUCCUCUCGGCUCAGCUCCGCUCCGGCGCCUGCGCGUUGCGCUCCCUACGGGCACGCCGGGAAGGGGCAGGCAGCCCCGGCCCCGCCCUGACCGGGAAGCCGCGCAGUGCGGGGGCAGGCUGCGGCGCUGGGGGUGACUGCCGUGCCGAUACGGUGUCAAACCGGUCAGUCACAAGCGCCUGAAGAAGCCUCAUCAUCCUGUUUGUCACGUUGGGACCUCUCUCUAUUCUAAUUUCUAAAAAAAAAAACAAAAACACCCACGAAGUGUUCAUCCUGUGGAGUCUUUCAGAAACAAUACUUUGAGCUUCUGUCUGCACAGGAAUCCUAAUUUAUGCUGAGAGAUUUUAUUCUUUCAUGCAAUAAACCUAAAGUUAUAUGCACUUCAAAAAAGUUGAAGGAAGUGCCUCCAAAAAAGACAGAGAUUGCAGCUUUUUUCACCUUCCUGUUUCUGUGUCUCCCACCCAGCGUCCCAAUGGCAGAUAAUUCUGCACCUUAACCAUUCAAUCUCAAGGCCACCCUGGGCCAGAUGAGGACACAAAGGGCACAGAAGAAACCUUCUGCUACACCUCAGCUGUAAGGAGGAUAUAGCAGCUUUUUAAGCUACUGACAGAGAUUCUGCAGAGAACCCUUUUUCCAGACCUGAAUUAAGAGGCAGCUUGAGCAAUCCUUAACACCCACAAUUCUUCCCAGCCUUUCAAAGAGACAGGAAAGAGGAAACAAAGCUGCUGGUCAGAGUCAUUACACUUCAUCUUUAUCAUGACUCUAUUGGGAAAUGUUAACUUCAGCUGCUCCCUUACCUCUAUUUUCUAUCCCAGACUUUGGCCCAUUUCUUGGAGAAAAGUGUGGAGGAUUUGCCUUUUUUUGCCAUUUGCCAUCUGCAGAGCAGGGGAGACAGCAGGACUGGCUGUGUGGGAGGGAAUGAGUAGUGAGGAGAGGGGAGAUUGUAAGCCAGCCCCCCUGCUGAAGAAAAGGCCCCACUGGUACAGCUUCAGAAAUGGUGAUGUUCCCAUAAGGUGAUGGGGUGGUGCUGUGAAGGGUAGGGUCCAUGUGGGUUAGAAAGCCAGCAUCUCCUCACAGCUGCCCUAAGGCUGAAGAAAUUGGACUGUGAAACAUUAUGUAGUAACAUUAUGCUCACUGACUGAUCUUUGUGCUUAAUGAAUGAUGAGCUUCAUAACCAACAAAUGCUGUCUUGAUUGAAAGACUGGCUGCUCACUGGCACGUUGCUGAAUGGUUGCAUGCUUGCAUGAUUUUUUCUAAUGCAUAAUACAUUUUCUAGCACGUAACAAUAGGAAGAGAGGAAAUGGCCUCAAGCUCUGCCAGAGGAGGUUUAGAUUCGGUAUAAGGAAAAAUUUCUUCACCAAAAGGGUUGCCAAGCACUAGAACCAGGAAGUGGUUGGUUGAGUCAUCAUCCCUGGAGGUAUUUAAAAGAUGUGCUGAUGUGGCACUUAGAGACAUGGUUUAGUGGUGGACUUGGCAGUGUUACUUUAGCAGUUGGACUUGAUGAUCUCAGGGGUCUUUUCCAACCUAAAUGAUCCUAUGAUUGAAAUGUUAUUUUACACAAAAGUGAGAACAAGGAAUCAGCAGCCCUGGGUAGAAGUCAGGUAUUCUGACAGUCACAUCAAGAGCUGACAGUGUGCCCAAAGUAGGUGUGUCACACCACCAGAGCUCAGUAAGGUUACGUUUUCUUAUGGCAAUACUGCACAGACUUGACAGAACCUUAUGAACAGUGACGACAAUGAACAAAAAUUACAUCCGCUCUGUACAGAGAAAUUAAAGAAAUGUAAUUCUGGUUGUGGCAGUUUUCCCUGCACAUCUUCUGCCUGUGCCACCAGAACCCCCGAACGCAGAUCCUGGCCAGGGCUGCUCUCCCUUUGAUGCCAGUGGAGUCCAUCCCCACCCGAACUUGCUAAAAUUUUUCCUUGUCUUGAAAUGUUAAACACUGGAAAAGAGAAAAAAGAAUGGCCAUUAUCAUGUAAA